GACGGGGGGCCGCACAAGCGGAGGAACAUGUGGUUUAAUUCGAUGAUACGCGAGGAACCUUACCCGGGCUUGAACUGCAGAGGAAUGCGGUGGAGACACCAAAGCCCUUCGGGGUCUCUGUGGAGGUGCUGCAUGGUUGUCGUCAGCUCGUGCCGUGAGGUGUCGGCUUAAGUGCCAUAACGAGCGCAACCCUUUUCAUUAGUUGCCAUCAGGUAGAGCUGGGCACUCUGGUGAUACUGCCACCGUAAGGUGUGAGGAAGGUGGGGAUGACGUCAAAUCAGCACGGCCCUUACGUCCGGGGCUACACACGUGUUACAAUGGGUGGUACAGAGAGUUGGUCGUUUGCAAAUGCAAUAUAAUCCUUAAAGCCAUCCUCAGUUCGGAUUGGGGUCUGCAACCCGACCCCAUGAAGCUGGAUUCGCUAGUAAUCGCGCAUCAGCCAUGGCGCGGUGAAUACGUUCCCGGGCCUUGUACACACCGCCCGUCAAGCCAUGAAAGCCGGGGGCGCCUGAAGUCCGUGACCGCGAGGGUCGGCCUAGGGUGAAACCGUUGAUGG
rnacentral:rRNA from 1 species